AGUGAACGCUGGCGGUAGGCCUAACACAUGCAAGUCGAACGGCAGCACAGUAAGAGCUUGCUCUUACGGGUGGCGAGUGGCGGACGGGUGAGGAAUACAUCGGAAUCUACUUUUUCGUGGGGGAUAACGUAGGGGAACUUACGCUAAUACCGCAUACGACCUACGGGUGAAAGCAGGGGAUCUUCGGACCUUGCGCGAUUGAAUAAGCCGAUGUCGGAUUAGCUAGUUGGCGGGGUAAAGGCCCACCAAGGCGACGAUCCGUAGCUGGUCUGAGAGGAUGAUCAGCCACACUGGAACUGAGACACGGUCCAGACUCCUACGGGAGGCAGCAGUGGGGAAUAUUGGACAAUGGGCGCAAGCCUGAUCCAGCCAUACCGCGUGGGUGAAGAAGGCCUUCGGGUUGUAAAGCCCUUUUGUUGGGAAAGAAAAGCAGCAGGUUAAUACCCCGCUGUUCUGACGGUACCCAAAGAAUAAGCACCGGCUAACUUCGUG
rnacentral:rRNA from 1 species